GUGCUGGCUUCUGCAGCACACAUACUAACACGGGAAAGACACCAAGAUUAGCCCGGCCCCUGUGCAGGGAUGACGUGCAAAUUCGAGAUGCCUUCCAUUAUUUU